UGGGGGGAGGGGGGGAGACGAGCACGACUAUGCAGAUCACGGAUCUAAUUACCAGAUACGAGCAUCGAGGUCCACGAAAAUUGGUCAUCCGUGAGGCGUCCAAUUUAUUUUGUGGCCGGAUUUCACGCUGUUCCUUCGGUGGAUGGAUGACGAUUUUAUUGUUUAGAGUGUGAAAAGAUAGAUUGAGGAAAGUGUGAAAAAAAUUUUUCGUUAAUUUAUCUUGUAAACAUAACCUGCAAAAUUUUUUACUUGACUUUGUACAAUAUAGUAGUAAAUAUAUUUUAAUCUAGUUUUCUUUUCAGCUUUGAAUAAUGAACGAUAUAUAUUUUUUUGGACAUGUUUGUGAUAUAUUCGAUAGUCAAUUCGAUAGUAAUCUGCUUACAAUUAAUCAUUAAAAUUAAUGGAAAGAGAAAUCUUAUAAGGAGAUUUUUUUAAUUGCUCUUUAAGAUUUUCUAUUAAGUUUGAGCAUGAUACAUUAAUAGUGAAUGUUAUAUAUAGUUUCUUUACUAAAAAUUCUUUAGAGAAUUUGCAUAAGAAUCAUAAUUUUUCGCUUAUGGAAUAUACACGUUUUAUAAUACACGUGCGAAGAAGAGAAGUAGUGGCAAAAAUGAUGACGAGGGUUUUCGUUACGACUUGUGACACACGAACUGAUGAUUAUCGCGAAAUUUAUAUUCAAGUUGGAUCAGAUAAUGUUACAGGAAGCUGUAAUCUUCGCCAAUCGUUUUUAGAGAAAUUAAAUAACAAUAAAUUUAUAUCGGUAUUAAUUUUUUUAGAUAAUAAUAAGGGAAUUUGAGAAAUUCGAAAUAUUAUGGUUCGCUAUUGAGACCAGCCAACACCAAUCGUUAACAAGAUUUGGAAGGUUACGUUGUAGAAUUUCAUGACUGGAUCUGAAGAUCCUUUUGUCAAAGCCCAGCUCAAAAGAGGAUGCUCUCACUUUGUGGUCUACAAAUGGCUACGAAAUUUGUGCUCCCCAAAGUACCUCCCCUAGACAUGUGUCCAGUUUAUAUAACAAAAGACUUGAAUAACAUUUUACUAUACACUUUUAACGGAUUUGCACAACGGAUUUUGAAAUUUUUUUUUGUAUAAAAAAAUUCAGAAUUUAGUUGGAUUAAAAAUAUAAGAGAAACGUAAAAAUCGUAUAUUAAUGGAUUUUAAAUUAAUAAAAUGACAAUAAUAUAUUGGAAAAUCUUCUCGUUACAAAUUCGCAGAGAGAAAAUUUUACAUGGAUAAAUAUUGAUAACGAACGAGAACAUAAAAAAGAGUAAAUGGAAAUAAAUAAAUCUAAAAAAAAAGAAUACAGAUUUUUGAACAUUAGGACAGAAAUAAAAAUUAUAAACAUUUCCAAUUAUACAAUUUUCCCUUUGAAAACUCGCAAACGGGAAAUACCAAAUUUUACAUACGAAUAAAUGGAAUAAAUGACGACCACUAAAUACAUCGAAUUCGAACGAGCAGAAAAUUUGAAAUUAAAUAAAGUGGAGAUAUUUUUAACAUCGUUUUAAAGUUUUCGAAAUUUUCGAGGAAAUCGAUGAAAAUUUUAAUUAACAAUAUCAAGUUUUUUAAGAAUGUCUCUUCAGAGGUAAGCUUCCUUGAAUCUCGAUCGUUAAAAAGAAAGUUUGGCGAGGAGCAGAAAGAAAGUUUAUCGGGUGGAUUCGAAACGGUUGUGCGUGGAUAACAGGCUUGGAGGCAGGAAGUCGAUAAACGAGCGACAUCUAGCGCGUUGCUACGCUCGAUAUUUUCUCUUCCAGCCAGAAAAAUGUCGGACCCGAUACGAGGGAUCGUUUCUCCGUGAGAUCGUACGAUGAUUCCUUCCGACACCCGAGGAAAUAUCCCUUCUUUCUUUCUCUCUAAUAUCACUCGAAACGAUGAAUUUUGUAUCGAGUUGGAUAGAAAUGUAAUAUCGUAGAACUGAUUAUUAAACUGUUUCACAUUUUUCCUAUAAGGAAAAUGAGAAGAAAAAUGUUUUAUUACACAAUAUGUAUAAUAAUCAAGUUGGAUAGAAAUUUAAUGUUGUAGAGCGUGGUUAUUAAAUUGUUUCACAUUUUUCCUAUAAGGAAAAUGAGAAGAAAAAUGUUUUAUUACACAAUAUGUAUAAUAAUCAAGUUGGAUAGAAAUUUAAUGUUGUAGAGCUUGAUUAUUAAACUGUUUCACAUUUUCCUAUAAGGAAAAUGAGAAGAAAAAUGUUUUAUUACACAAUAUGUAUAAUAAUCAAGUUGGAUAGAAAUUUAAUGUUGUAGAGCUUGAUUAUUAAACUGUUUCACAUUUUCCUAUAAGGAAAAAUGUUUUAUUAGACAAUAUGUACAAUAUAUAUAUGCAUAAUAAAAAUAUGUAUUUGACAUACAUAUUUAUAAGUUCUAAAAAUUGUUAAUACAAACCUUGUUGCAUGAAGUAUACUUAUAUACUUUAUUUGGUUACAUUAUAAUGAAAAAUAAUGAAUAUAAGUAUCACAAAUUAUAAAGUUAUCAUAGAAGAUUUUAUAUCUUUUUUAGUUCAUAAUUUUUACAAUCAUCAUCUUGAAAUUCCAAUUUCCAAUUUGAACUCCGUAUCCAUUCAAGGUUCCAUUGAAACAGUGUUAAUAACGAGUGUACCCACCAAACCAAGCCAAACCGAAUCGGUGAUGUUAUUACGAUUAUUAAACCGCGAUUAUUGGAAUGCAAAUCGUAGCUGCAAACCUGAAUCGACACAUCUUGUUUGCCGUACCAAGUUCCAGCUUUAAUCGAGCUAAUUCGCGAUGGCAAACGUAUUUCACCAUGGUAAUAAUAAUAAUAAUAAUAAUAAUUCGGGAUUAACGCAAGAAUCGGUAAAUAUUUGACUUCCUCGUGGCUUCGCGAGAGAAAUCGCUACUUAAACACGGAUUUCAACGAUAAGAGCUUACUAAUGUAAUCAGAACUUGAAACAAAGAAUUCUUAAGUGAUGCUUAACCAGAUUCACUCGUUCGAAGAGAUUGGAUUGUGAUGGAAAAAUAAUGAAAUAUGCAGUUUCGAAAAUUCAAACAGCAAAGGUUGGAUGUAUUCCACACAUAGAUGAAUAAAUCGUGUCCAAGUUAUGUGGAAUAAUAUGCACGAUUGUUGAGCUUUUUGGUUGCAAAUGUUUAUUGCACGGCCUUUAAACUCGAGUAGUUGAUCCCCAAUUUGCCAACUUGCCAACUUCUCUUUAUUCAUAUUAUAUUGCCGUAUUAACAGUGACCUCUCUCUCCCUUAACGCCGUUUCGUGCAAUUGUUCUUUAAUAUUUUAAGAGCGGAUUGAACGUGGAGGAAGAACACGUGAAACGUUUAUAAUUUUAAUUUUGAAUUUGUAAAGAGGUUGAAUAGAUUUGUGUUAUAAUAUCAGGCUUUGGAAAUUGAAGAUUGGAUAGAUUAUUUAAUAAAAUAAAAAUUAUAAUAGAAAAGAUAUUGAUGUGUAAAUGGAUAAUUUAGAGAUAUUACAUUAGAUGCCAAUUCUUGAAUAUUGAAAAAUUAUGAUGUGAAUAAAAAGAAUUCAAAGUAUUUUUCUGAAGCUUAUUAUUUAAUAUUAUUUAAUAGAAGUAUUAUUUAAUAGAAGAGCUAUUGAUGUAUAAAUGGAUAAUUAAGCAGAGAUGUUACAUCAGAUGCCAAUUCUUGAAAAAUUAUGAUGUGAAUAAAAAGAAUUGAAAAUAUUUCAAUUUUCUGAAGCUUAGAGUAUUAUUUAAUAGAGGAGCUAUUGAUGUAUAAAUGGAUAAUUAAGCAGAGAUAUUACAUCAGAUGCCAAUCCUUGAAAAAUUAUGAUGUGAAUAAAAAGAAUCCAAAGUAUUCCAAUUUUCUGAAGCUUAGAAUAUUAAAAGAAAUUUCAGGUAAAGUGUUACGCUAUUAAACAAUUAUUAAUUAAUAGAAUUAGAAUUUAUUGCAAACAUCACGAAUUUUAAUCUCUAAUAUAAAUUAAAUUUUAACAUUUGAAUCAGUCAAUUCACAUGACGUUUUUAAAAUAUUGUAUCCUUUCAAACCAAUUAAAUUCUCAUUAUUGGUAAUUUGUAAUUAACAUCGAGUAAAGGACAAUCUCGGCAAAUAUGCAAAUUAGUAAUUCAGUGGAAGGAUUAUGCUUGCAGGCGAACCGCGAAGAGCCAUUAGGAUUACGCUUAUGGUUACGUUUACAUCUUCCGUCCAUCUGGACAGAUAUUCUGCACCCAUUGUUUGACCCCUUACCUCGAGGUUUGUAGAUUAGGAUGUAAUUGCAGAAUAUCAUUGUUAUAUCAUGACGGUUUAUAAUUCUGGUGAGAAGAACUUACACAUUGCAACUUAUACAUCAUUAAUCUGGUAAUUUAUGAUUUGGAAAAGGAAAAGGUAUAGUAUUUAAAAAUUGCAAUGAAAAAAAUAUCUUACUUUUAAACUUUUCAUAUAUACGUUUAAUUCUGCUGAAAAUUGCCAAUAGAUGCCAAAAUAUGUCUGUGUAUCAAUAUUUUAAUCUAUUAAUCUUAUUUUAUAACAAAAAAUUAUAGAAAUCAUUCUCAUAUCAUAAAGGUUUGUAAUUCUGGUGAGAAGAAUUUACAUAUUGUAAUUUAUACAUCAUUAACUUGAUAAUUUCUGAUUUGGAAAAGGAAAAGGUAUAGUAUUUAAAAAUUGCAAUGAAAUAUCUUAAUUUUUAAACUUUCUACAUGAUAUGUACUUUUAACUCUGUUGAAAGUUUCCUGCUAAUGUCAAAAUCUAUGAAGCUGUGUAUUUUUCUCUCAUCUCAUGACAAAAAAUAAAUUAUGAAACAAAGUAUGAAACAAAGGAAAUGAGUAUAACAUAUUUAUAAUAUAAUCACUAUAUAUAUACAUAUAUUAUAAAUCAUAAACAAAAUUAUAAAAUUAUUUUAAUGUUUUCAGAUUGAAAAUGUCAAACGACGAUUAUUGUACACACUCAUUUCAACACACCUUGGAAUUCUCUCAACGUUACCAAAGCAACAUUCCAUCCUUAAAACUGUUAUGAAUUCAACGCGAUUCAACAUUUACAUCGAAAUAACGCAAUAUAUUUUACACUGUCAUCGCUUCUUCGUAAUCGAGCACCACCUUGUUUGUCAUCGAUACAAUUAUACAAAGAUACGGAUCUCAUCUGUUCUCCAAUUAAGAGAGGAAAAAAAAAAAAGAAUCUAAUCGCAUUCUCGUUCUUGCGAUCCUUCGAGAGAAUCUCUACGUGGCACGGAUGGAAAGAGAGAAAGAAAGAGAGAGAAAGAGAUAGAUAGAGAGAGAAUUAGAAGCUGAUUGUAUCGAGUGGAAUAAUGAAAUUGAAAUUUAUAAUUGAAAAAUUUUGGAAACAAAUAAUUGAAGUUGAGAUGCAAAAAUCUGUAUUAAAGAUAUUGAUAUAUAUACUGGAUGUCUUAAAAGAAUAAUUUAUUAAAUUUAUAAUUGUGAAAAUAAAAAGAUCUGACUGUACUAAAGAUAUUGAC